rnacentral:lncRNA from 1 species
GUGGAAGACUUCUCAAACCCUGAGUACAUCUUACCCAUCUUGCCAGAGGCCUCUGAUAAACUUCUUUUAGAUCCGGCCUCAUUAAAUUCUUCAGAGUUGUUGAUAUCGGUUGAAGAUGCAGCAUCCAUAUUUCCAACAAGCAAGUCCAAUGGCCGCAUAGAGUUAUUGUUAAGCAAUGGUAACAUAGCCUAUGGGCUCAUAGACUCCAUGCCCACAUCUCGAGUACUUCAGAUUCCAAAAGAGUAUUAAUCAAUUCGGGACGUUUCAGUCUGGACGAAGCUGCCUUAGAAAGUGAUGCCGACCUUAAAUCCAUUUUAGUCGAAAAAUCUCAUGACCCAAAAUGGAAUCAAUCAUCUAGUCUCGAUUCCAGCUCAUUCUCUGUAGAUUCUAGAACGGAUCUUUUAGAUGGCUCUUUGCUCAAAGAAUCCUCAGCCACGUUGAAUGAAGACAACUUAUCCGAUGUUCUCUCAAAGAAUAUUUCUUUGGAUAAUAUUGAAAGGGACAAAAAUUUAGGAGGAUCUCCAUCAGAUGCAGACCUCGGUGUAGAUACCUCAUCCUUCUGGUGUGAAGAGUGUAACUGCUUCUACGAAACCGAGUGCAUCAAACAUCAGUUUCAGACCAUCUACGAUAAGCCAGUCGUUUCAAGAGCAAGGGCCACUCUUCCUGCAUCAUACCUGUUUAUGAAUGAAUUGAAAGCAGAUAAACAGUCCAGUAAAAAAGAAUCAAUCAUGGGAGUAUUUGCCCGCAAACACAUUCCAAAGCGAACACAAUUUGGGCCGGUUGAAGGUAACUUUCUGACGACUCCAAGUGACAACAAUCAUCAGGCAGUCUGA